AGAUAAUCACCCCUGUGUAGGGGUGAGAUGCUCAGCACUGAUCCCUGAUCCCCAUGCCCAGGGCUGCAGGUGGAAAGAGACUAGGCAGGUGCACAAAGACUUCCGAACAGAAACCGCGCGGAGGGGAAGUGUCUGGGAUGUGUCCCAAAGACGGAGCUGAGAUAGCUGCUCCCGUCUUUAAUGGCAAAAACCAUCUCCCACCGCGCUUCUUGCGUGAUUUUAAGAGUGGGGCGGUGCGUAAGUGCGCAGAUGAGACGGAGUAGCUCCAGUUCUGCCGCAGGUCCCGG
rnacentral:lncRNA from 1 species